GACGAGGGGUGCGAACGUUAUUCGGAAUGAUUGGGCGUAAAGGGUGCGUAGGCGGCUUAUUAAGUCAACUGUUAAAUUUCUCAGCCUAACUGAGAGUCUGCGGUAGAAACUGAUAAGCUUGAGGAUGGAAGAGAGAAGUAGAAUUCUCGGAGUAGCGGUAAAAUGCGUAGAUCUCGAGAGGAACACCGAUGGCGAAGGCAGCUUCUUGGUCCAUUUCUGACGCUGAGGCACGAAAGCGUGGGGAGCAAACAGG
rnacentral:rRNA from 1 species